GAUAAACGCUGGCGGCGCACAUAAGACAUGCAAGUCGAACGAAAGUCGUUUUAAUUUUUUUGGAACUGGAUUAUGAUUUAUCUUAAGAAGGUGAAGGAGAUUUUAGAACAUAUGGCUUUAGUGGCGGACUGGUGAGUAACACGUAAGCAACCUGCCUAUCAGAGGGGAAUAACAGUGAGAAAUCAUUGCUAAUACCGCAUAGUUUGCUUUUAUCGCAUGGUAAAAGUAAUAAAGGAGUAAUCCGCUGAUAGAUGGGCUUGCGUCUGAUUAGCUAGUUGGUGGGGUAAUGGCCUACCAAGGCGACGAUCAGUAGCCGGACUGAGAGGUUGAACGGCCACAUUGGGACUGAGAUACGGCCCAGACUCCUACGGGAGGCAGCAGUCGGGAAUAUUGCGCAAUGGAGGAAACUCUGACGCAGUGACGCCGCGUAUAGGAAGAAGGUUUUAGGAUUGUAAACUAUUUUAGUCAGGGAAGAAAAAAGACGGUACCUGAAGAAUAAGCUCCGGCUAACUACGUGCCAGCAGCCGCAGUAACAC
rnacentral:rRNA from 1 species